rnacentral:lncRNA from 1 species
CAAUAGGAAGCCAAAGGGUCCCUGCAGAGGAGGGUUGCAGCACGAUAACUCUACAGCUGGACAGAGACAGAUUGCAGGGGAGCAAGAAUGAAUGGCAGGCCAGCUGCCAGAAGCUUCUCACUCCGUGGAGACCUUGGAGUCGAGGAUGAAAUGUCUUACAACUGUGGGGAGACCUUGGCUUUUCCAAAGCCUACCAGGGUCCAGGACUUGGAAGCUAAGGCCCAGAGAGGAGGAGAAACUUGAUCAAAGUCAAUCAGACAAUGCAGAAUCGAGAAAAGUACCUGGACCUCUAUGCCCAUGCUUCUAGCAGCCAGCCUCCUAAAAUACCUCUAGUUGAAGCCAAAGUUAGAAUCCUUCUACGAAACUACAGGAUUAAAAUGGAAUGGUUACAUGACCCAGGCUUGACCAAUCAGAUCAUCCAAACCCUUUGCCACAGUGAUUGGUCCAGGGAUACAUGCAUGAGCCAGCUCAGGUAAAUGAGACUCAAUUAUAAGAAUUUUGUUAGCGCAAUUGGGAAAAAGAAGUUUUCUUUCCAUGAGAACUAUCAGCUAUAAGAAUGUUGGAUGCUUCCAUCUGCUGGAGUCCAUGAAGAAGGUCCAUGAAAAUGAAGCCAGCACAACAACACAGAGCUAAGACAUACAAAGAGAUGGAGAUUAAAUUGAAUGGAACUUUUAAGCCCCUACAUGCCCUUGAAGCCAGAUAUCCCUGAACUUUUAAUUUAUAUUAGUUGAUAAAGUCCUUCUUUAGCUUAAGCCAAUUUGAAUUAGAGUAUUUUUCACUUGGGGUCCAAAAGAGCUCUCAAUACAAAAGUCUGACUGAGUGCAUGAUGUGCUGGUUUCAACCUCAAGGGAACAGGGAAAGGGAAAGAAAGAGGCAGAGGUUGUGAACAGGACAGUAGAAGGUGGUCAGGAGACAAAUAUCUGGACUCAACUUUGUCCCUACUGUGUGGCCUUGAAUAGUGAGUUAACCACUCCGAGCCUCAGUUUCCCCAUCUGGAAAAAAAAGUUAGUGGACAGUCACUAGUUCUCAGACAGAACUCUGUAGCAGCGAGAGGGUAAUGGGGAUUGAGAGUCCCAGACUUGCAUUCUGAGGGACUAGCUCUCCUCUUAUCUAUAUCAUAUACCAGGUUUUCUUGUAAGGUUUUGUUAGAAUGGGUCUCACUGUUAAAAUGGAUUAGCUGAUCAUUUCAGUUCUAUUUAUAUUAAAGUCUAAAUUGAAUCAAGGCUCAGCUGGGGCCCAGUAAGAAUGUAGUGCCUGGUUAAUAAUAUUUUCUACUCUAUGAUAGGAGUUGGCCAGAAGCCAAGGUCAAAAACUCAAUCCCUGGAGGGUUUAUUUGCUUUCUGCAGACAUAAAAAAUUGUUAAUAACAAUGAUCUGCAUCCCCAAUCUUGAGAGCUGUCUUAGAGAUGUGGGUCAUUGAUCACAGAAGGGGCUGGGAAAAGGAAUGUGGAUGAUUCCAAAUAGUCAUUAGCUCUGCCUUAAAUGCCAAUACAAACACUACUGCCAAUGCUCAAGGCAAGCAACCUCUUCAUAGCUAGAACACAGAGGGUGGUGUGCUUGAAGGCUUUUGUUUCUCCUCAAGACAGUGUAGAAAAAGCUGAGAAAACAAAGAGCACUUGUUUCACAAUUAACUGCACAACACCUGAUGUAUAUCCACAGUCCUCUAAAUUAAUAUGGAUUCGCUUUUCUUUAUAAAGACAACAUACACAUUGUAGUGGAAAUCGGAUGGGAGGAUAAUUUUUAUGAAAGCAUAUAACAGUAUUUUUAUAAAAUAUAAAUUAUCAUUACAGUAAAAUAUAUUAACUUCAAGGCAAGUUUUGACACUGUAUGCAAGUUUAAAGUAUUUCAAAUUUUUAAAAAGUGUAUCUUAACAAAUAAAUUUUAGCACCAAUUGCCAGAAUUGUUGUCCACCACUAUAGUCAAAACAAUUUUCUUUUCUUUAUUUCAACUAAAAAUUGUGAAUGGGACUAAAGUCUUUAUGCAAAUAUAUACUCCAAUAAUAAUAUUAAUCUUGCCAACAGUAGCUGAAUAUUUAAUUAACUUUAACAAACAUGUUGAAAGAUAAUAAACUAAAAAAACUAUUUUUCCUUAUAGUCUCUGUAUAACUAGGUGCUUUCUCAUUAGAAAGCUUAUUUUUUCAAAAGUAUAUAUAACAUAGGUAAUUUAUAUUAAUAAAAAAUAAAAAGUUGCAAAUUUCUUGAGGUGUAAUUUCUCAUGUUGAUUAACUUCUGAUCUCUAUCAUUUUGCUUACAUGUACCAUAGAUACACAAAAACCAGAUGGGGGGCAGGGUAAUCAAUCUUAGGAGAGGGCAAUAGUUAAGUCAGACUAGGCAGAGUCAAGACAAGAGGCAGGCAGAGGGUUAGUUGAGGGCAAGUUAUGAAUGCCUCAGAACACAUCUCAGGAUUUGGAAACAAGCAGUAGUCUGGUCAAAUCCAAACUGGGAAACACAGAUGGCG